ACUCUUUCUACAAGUCUUAGUCAGGGUUACUAUUGCUGUAAUAAAACACCAUGACCAAAGCUACCCGGGGAGGAAAGGGCUUAUUUUGGUUAUACUUUUACAGUUCAUCAGAAGAAGCAGUCAGGGCUCGACCUCAAGCAGGGCAGGAACCUGGAGGCAGGAGCUGCUGCAGAGGCUGUGAUACAGAGAGGCUGCUCACUGGCUCCCUCCUCACUGUCUGCUCAGCCUGCUUUCCUAUAGAACCCAGAACUACCAGCCCGGGGGUGGCCACACCCACAAAGGUCUGGGCCCUGCCCCAUCAAUCACUAAUUAAAAACUGUGCUACCGGCUGGCCUGCAGCCUGAUCUCUUAGAGGCAUUUUAUUAAUCGAGCUUUCAACUCCGAUGACUUUGACCUGUGUCAAGUUGACCUGAAACUAUUAAGCACAGCUACCUUGUGGGAAGAACAUUGUGCCCUCUGCCCUAUCCAUAGUUUACUAUGAGUUCACAGCUUUCUUACACAGGCUACACACACACAAUAAAUUAAAUUACGGGGUUAGGGAUUUAGCUCAGUGGUAGAGCGCUUGCCUAGCAAGCGCAAGGCCCUGGGUUCGGUCCCCAGCUCCGAAAAAAAAGAAAGAAGAAAAAAAAAAAAAAA
rnacentral:lncRNA from 1 species